rnacentral:rRNA from 1 species
UACGGAGGGUGCAAGCGUUGUCCGGAUUUAUUGGGUUUAAAGGGUGCGUAGGCGGCCUUGUAAGUCAGUGGUGAAAGCCUCCAGCUCAACUGGAGAGCUGCCAUUGAUACUGCAAGGCUUGAGUACAGACGAGGUUGGCGGAAUUGAUUGUGUAGCGGUGAAAUGCAUAGAUACAAUCAAGAACUCCGAUUGCGUAGGCAGCUAACUAGGCUGUAACUGACGCUGAGGCACGAAAGCGUGGGGAGCGAACAGG